AAACUCCAGAUCCCUUCCUCCUCAGACCUAAACUCUGAUCUUAGGGGGGGGGUAAAAUUGAAACGGACUUCAAUUAGUUUGCGACACGUAAGCUAGCUUCAAACAAAC
rnacentral:snoRNA from 1 species